UGGCUGGGGACAUCCCCCUGCUGAGCGAGCCACAGGAUAAAUACUUCCUCCCUGAGUGACUCCAGGCAGACAGCCCAGCCUGGCAGGAUGGACACAGCCGCAGCCCGCAGGCACCCAGGUGUGAUGGGAGCUGUUCCCUGGCUCCCUCUAGUCCUCCUCUGCGGCUGCAGCCACUUCCAGAGCUCAGAUGCAGCUUCCAGCCUGCGCCCAGAGAUCAUUACGCCCCUGAAGCCCGUGAAAAGUCCCACUCUAGGGAAAUGGUUCAGUGUCAGCUGCCAGGCUCAGAGCCCCUUCCCGAGGAUGACCCUCAUCUACUGGCUGGCAAACGGCUCCUUUGUGGAGGACCGAUACCCAGACGAGGCAGUGAGCGAAG
rnacentral:lncRNA from 1 species